rnacentral:lncRNA from 1 species
GGCGAAGAAAAGCAGGAGAUUUUGUGAGUGGUCAGGCUGGGGACAGUGACACUGGAGAUGCACGUUCAUGAGAAUUCUCCAUUUUUUUCUUUCAGCCUUUGAAUGAAUACAACGUCGCCCGGUUGGAAUAUUAUCGCUAUUUUACGAGAAAAAUAGGCAGGGUCGUAUAGUGACCUGAACACACGAACAAAACAGAGCUAUUUGAAUAUAACUAUGGAUUAUUUGGAACCAAAACAACAUUUGUUGUUGAAGUAGAAGUCCUGGGAGUGCAUUCUGAUGAAGAACAGCAAAGGUAUUGACUCUAACAACACAAAAAUAUGGUGGACCUCUCGGAUGAGAAGGCCUUGGCUGCAGCUCAGAGCCUGGGGGCUCAGAGCAACAUGACUAAUGGACUGUACUCAGCCAGCGAAAACCAAACGGGUCAGACAGCCCCGUUACUGACACUCCAAAUAGAGAUGGGACAGAAGUGUGUGUGAGCGCUCAGAAUUGGGAUGCGAAGAGGAGAGUGUGUGUGAAGGCUUGCCAGGUCCUGCUGUCUGAGCCCCACGCCAGGCCACCCAGAGGGUUAUAUCAUAUGUCUUUGGACAUUAGGACUUUUAGGACCUGACACUGAAUCCCUAAUCCCUUGAUCGCCAUGGUUUCUGGGCAACACAAAGAGCUGGCUGAAAUUCCAGACUAUGUCUAAGUAAGACAGUCUCAUACUUAAAACUAGGGUUGCAUAAUUCCGGGAGAUUUCAAUAAAUUCCCUGGUUUUCCCGAAAUCCCGGUUGGAGAAUUGCCAACUGUUUAUGCAAAAGAUAUUUCACAGCGGUUUAGAUGGUACAAUGAUUCACUGCACUACACUGGCUUGUUUUGUCACAAACUGAAAUUAGGCAACCUAUUAGAAUUUUUGCAACCAGGAAAUGGCAGAGCGAUUUCUGCAUAGUGCAUCUUUUAAAACUGUUCACCAAACAUGUGUUUUUUGUUAAUAUUCUUGCUCUCUCAUUUCAGAAAUAUCCAUACCCAAAUGUUCUGGAGUACUGCUUAGUUCUUCUGUAUUUCAAUUCUGCUAUCGUUCCUGAUUACCUCCAGUAAGAAGCAGUGGCUUUCUGCCGCAGUUAUGGAACUACAGCCUCUCUCCGCAAAGCCUCGCAGAAAUUCCAAUCUUAAUAGUUUAGAUGUAGAUGUUUAUUUUCUUCUGUCUACGACUUUUGUUAAUGUAAAAAUGCAUUCGGAAAGUAUUCAGACACCUUGAAUUUUUCCACAUUUUGUUAGGUUACAGACUGUAGUAGAAUUACAACACUAUGUUAAUCACAUUAUUGGUUAUGAUAAAAUGUUCCAAAUUUGGGCUCUGUUAUAGAGGAAAAUAUUCAUGCAGGUUAUACACAUAUUAAGUGUGUUUGGGAAUAGCAUUGUGUGAAUGUGAUAUGAGAGUUGUGUGAAUGUGGAAAUAAGUCUUAAUCUGCGUUUUGGAUAAUAAGGUAUUGAAUAGUGUGUAUAAUAAUCUGAUUUAGAUUUGGAUAAUAAGUUUUGAUAUAUAACGCUAUCUUGGGAUUCAGUCCACUACUGCCUAUCAUAGUAAAUAUAAUUUAGUAUUAUUAAGUGUGGGAUGUUAUUUUAGACAGUAGUGGCACGUCUGUGGUUUCUGGGAGGUUAGAGGACCAUUGAGAAUACGUGUGGAGCAUUAUUCCCAUGACCCACUGGGCAGUGUCCAGGAAACCAACGUUUUUGGGGUUCUGCUGGGAGUAGGACGAUGGAGAGUCGUUGGAAAGGCAAAUGGGGUGGUUAAUUAAUGUGAGUACCUAAGAUUUUAAGGUUAUAUAUGGAUUCUGUGAAUAUAUGACAAAUUGCAUGUGUGUACAAACGUAGACGUACAUCAGGGGUGAAAAAAAAAAGAGUUUUCUAAGGUUUAAGCAUUAUGACUGUCUACAAAGUCUGGGCAAUAGUCGCAGAAACUGAUUGGCGUAUGUCCACUUUUGGUUAACUUACUCUAACGAUGUAACUAUAAAAAGCUUAUGGGAUUUUCUCAGUCAAGUUAAUCUUUUUUUGUGUUGCCUAAUGGUUUGCUGGUGGAAACUACUGAAAAUAGGGUCGUAAUUUCCUUCAUUAAAUUGAAUAUUAAUACGAAUUGAAUAUAUGCUUGUCAACAACAGCAAGUGUUUGUUUUAUUACCUGUAGUCUAAUCAGAAUGGACUGUUACCUAUAUCUAAUGCAUUCUAAUAUUAGCGGAUAUGCAAUUGCGAUAGAGCUGUGACCAUGAUCUUAAUUGAUAACUUAACAUAGGUAUUAAUUAUUGUAUGAUAAAACAAGACUUCAACAGCAAUGAAUUGAAGUUGUGGGCAGGAAGAGGCUUUUGUAUUCUGAAAUGUAUAUUUUUCUUUAUGGGUUGACUGAUGUAUUUGAUAAAUUCGGCGCAUUACAUGUUAAUUUUUAAGUCAUGGACAUUUCAUGAGUGUGAAGCAGAAGGAGAAGAGAAAGUUGUCAAGUUUUGUUUUUUAACCUUACGAUAGAGGUAAACACAGAAUUUUGUUUGAGAAUGGGUUAUAUUUUUUUUAUACUGGUAAGAGUAGAAGAGUUUCCAUGUUUUAGUCUGUGGGUGUCAGUGACUGGUGCUCGCUGAACUCGAGCGGGCUGUAAGAAAUGAAGUGGGUUAGUUUGGUGUAGAGAGAUGACAAAGUUGAAUGGGAGAUGUUCUUUGUCAAUUUCUAAUUAUUAUUAAUCAAUUCUAUAGUUUAGGUAACACCAGUGAAUUUGAGCAGAAAGGUAAUGUCAUUUCAAACGAUAAUCUGUUUCCGUUACAUGGAACAGUGUCAAGUCAUUAAAGUGGAUUGCAGAUAGUUUUGACUAUUACGCUGAUGAGAUAGAACCAACUUUUUGAAGGUUCUAGAUUUGUUAAUGAAAACUCAGAAAAUAAAAACUUAAGAAACUUAAGAUCAAUAUGUGUGCCCCUUUAAGAUACCUCUUCUCUAACCCAUGAAAAACCCACUAAAACCAAGUGAAAUAGACCAGUCACAAUAAAUCAGACGUAGUAUUACAAACACCAACAAAUAUUCAUAACAAGUGUGUUGUGUGUGAGUGCCUGUAAACCAUAUGGCAAAAACAAACAAAAAUGGCUAGGCCUUAUUUAAUUUGGUAGGACCCUUUAUGGCCAAAUCCGGAUACCUUUAUACUUAUAAAACUGCCCAAUUUCACUAACCGCUCUCCCAGGACAAUUCACUAACCGCUCUCCCAAGACAAUAGUCUCGGGAAACAUUUCAAAGUGAGAGAAAAUGACUACCCCCAUUCUCCUGGAAGAGAAAGUGUACAUGUCGUUAAUAUUCACUACACUACCUCUUAAUCAGCAACCCAAAUGUUUUAAUUGCAAACAAAACAUGAAGAUAAUUCCACUGUACUCCCUCCAAUCAUACAUUGUUUGUUUUAAUCUACCCCAACGUUUAUGUGCCCUUAAUUUAACAUGCGCUACCCUUAUACACGGCAACAUGUAUCUCACCACUGAGUCUAACAAUUCACUCCGGUACAUGACUGGUCUCCCUUUUCAGGAAUGUUAUAACUUUAACCUUUUGCAUUGAUUUAGUAAAAAUAUAAACCUGUUGUUUAAAACCUGUUUGGGAUAGGGGGCAGUAUUUUCACGGCCGGAUAAAAAACGUACCCGAUUUAAUCUGGGUACUACUCCUGCCCAGUAACUGGAAUAUGCAUAUAAUUAGUAGAUUUGGAUAGAAAACUCUAAAGUUUCUAAAACUGUUUGAAUGGUGUCUGAGUAUAACAGAACUCAUUUGGCAGGCAAAACCCUGAGACAUUUUCUGACAGGAAGUGGAUACCUGAUGUGUUGUAUUGACUUUAAACCUAUCCCAUUGAAAAACACAGGGGUUUAGGAAUAUUUUGGCACUUCCUAUUGCUUCCACUAGAUGUCACCAGCCUUUACAAAGUGUUUUGAGUCUUCUGGAGGGAGAUCUGACCGAACAAGAGCCAUGGAACGAUGAUGUCCCAUUAGACACCUGGCGCGCGAGUUCAUGUUGGGUACCCUCGUUCCAAUACGUUAUAAAAGAGUAUGCAUUCGUCCACCUUGAAUAUUAUUCAUGUUCUGGUUAAAAAAGGCCCUAAUGAUUUAUGCUAUACAACGUUUGACAUGUUUGAACGAACGGAAAUAUAUUUUUUCCCCUCGUUCAUGACGAGAAGUCCGGCUGGCUUAGAUCAUGUGCUAACGAGACGGAGAUUUUUGGACAUAAAUGAUGAGCUUUUUUGAACAAAACUACAUUCGUUAUGGACCUGUGAUACCUGGAAG